UAGAGAUGUCCUUCCUUGUUAUUGUGCUCAGAUAGGUACUUUCAGAAUCUGAGGGCAAUCUGACUGUGACAUCUGUCACCUCAUUGAUCACCAGGGUUGAUGUGGCCGAUCUGCAGCUAGGCGGGUAUCCCCCUUCCCCCUCACCACUGCACGUACAUCCCUCCUUGAGGUGAACGCUCAGUCGAAGAGGAAAAUCCGCCUGAUACAGGAGGACCACUCUUCAAUCUGAGAUGUUCAUCUUUCACAAAACUGUUCAAGCACUGCCUUUCCUGUGAAGCCUCACUGGGAUCCUCCAGAGGAAGUGGUAAACAAAUCCCUGCUGAGUGGUAAACAAACCUCGAGGCUAGGAGGACCUCUGGGAGUUGCAGCUGCCACAGUUAUAAAAAGAAGUCUAAACUCUUAAAGAGAUGAAGAACCUUUAAAGGAAGUGAAGAGCAAAGCAUUGAAGUUUUUCUGCAGUUUCACCAUUUGUACUAAAGAUGGCUGAAAAGAAGUCAAUAAGAGAGAAAGAUAGCUACAGGCAACAGAACAUGGAGAAGAACUAUUCAAAGCAAUGAUCUUCAAACAUCUUUUCUUUGAAAGAAAUAACAAAGCCGUAAGUCAA